rnacentral:tRNA from 1 species
UCUCAGAUGGUCCAGUGGCUAAGAUUUCCGCCUGUCAAGCCACAAUUGGCUAGCGGCUCGCGGACGACCGGGGUUCGAUUCCCCGUCUGAGAG